rnacentral:tRNA from 1 species
GCCCCGGUAGUACAGCCCGGUUAGUAUAGUCGGCUGUCACCCGACUGACUCGGGUUCAAAUCCCGACCGGGGCG